CCUACGGGAGGCAGCAGUAGGGAAUAUUGGGCAAUGGGGGCAACCCUGAAGCAGCAACGCCGCGUGGAGGAUGAAGGUUUUCGGAUUGUAAACUCCUUUUGUUAGAGAAGAUAAUGACGGUAUCUAACGAAUAAGAACCGGCUAACACCGUGCCAGCAGCCGCGGUAAUACGGAGGGUGCAAGCGUUACUCGGAAUCACUGGGCGUAAAGAGCGCGUAGGCCGGGUAGCAAGUCAGAUGUGAAAUCCUAGGGCUUAACCAGAGAACUGCAUUUGAAACUGUUAUUCUUGAGUAUGGGAGAGGUAGGUGGAAUUCUUGGUGUAGGGGUAAAAUCCGUAGAGAUCAAGAAGAAUACUCAUUGCGAAGGCGGCCUGCUAGAACAUAACUGACGCUGAUGCGCGAAAGCGUGGGGAGCAAACAGGAUUAGAUACCCUUGUAGUC
rnacentral:rRNA from 1 species